GGUUUAGCUCAGUUGGUUAGAGCAUGGUGCUACUAAUGCCAAGGUCACAGGUUUGAUCCCUGUAUGGGCCA